AGAGUUUGAUCCUGGCUCAGAUUGAACGCUGGCGUCAGGCUUAACACAUGCAAGUCAGCACUUUAAGCAGUGAAGCUUGCUUCUCGCUGACGAGCGGCGGACGGGUGAGUAAUACUUAGGAAUCUACCGCCGACGGCAACUAGUAGUGCGGGGUACGCUCGGGAAACUCGAAUUAAUACCGCAUACGGACCUACGGGAGAAAGGGGCCAACAGGCGGUUCUUUAAGUCUGAUGUGAAAGCCCCGGGCUUUGGACAAUAACGGCACCCUUUUUAGGUUGUAAAGCACUUUAAGCAGUGAAGAGACUCCAUGGUUAAAUACCCAUGAACGAAUGACGAUUAGCUGCCAGAAUAAGCACCGCUCGUGUAUUCUUGUUCGCCCACACCCCGGUAUACAGAGGGAAGCCGUGGGGAGCUUUUAAUCGGAAUACUGGGCGUAAAGCGAGGCGUUAAGUGGCUUGAUUAAGUUCCAAAGGAGGGUUUCCGCCCUGGGAACGGAAUCUGAAUACCCUUGUUACGCUUAAAAGUAAGCGUGGCCGCAAGGUUAAAACUCAAAUGAAUUGACGGGGGAAUGCCUUUCGGGUUCAGUCUGACACUAAGGUGCGAAACCUUGGAAGAACCUUACCCCGGUAGGCAAACAGGUUGAAUAACCCCUGGAAGUCCCGUUAAACGAUGUCUUAACUUAUUCUUUGGGGUUCCAGCCUUGAGGGACAUUUAGAUGACGCAGCUUAACGCAAUAAGUAGACCGCCUGGGGAGUACGGCCGCUAGUUAAAACUCAAAUGAAAUUGACGGGGCCCCGCACAAGCGGUGGAGCAUGGUUUAAUUCGAUGCAAAUGACGUCAAAUCAUCAUGCCCCUUAUGAACCUUACCUGGUUGACAUAUCAGAAUCCUGCAGAGAUGCGGGAGUGCCUUCGGGAAUUAGAAUACAGGUGCUGCAUGGCUGUCGUCAGCUCGGUGUCGUGAGAUGUUUGGGUUUAAGGUCCCGCAAACACCUUGUCCUUAGUUACCAGCGGUUUGGCGGGAACUAAGUGAUACUGCCAAGUGACCAAACUGGAGGAAGGCCGGGGAACGAACCGUUCAAGGUUCAUCAUUGGGCCCUUUACCACCAGGGGCUACACACACU
rnacentral:rRNA from 1 species